AACGAACGCUGGCGGCAUGCCUAACACAUGCAAGUCGAACGAGACCUUCGGGUCUAGUGGCGCACGGGUGCGUAACGCGUGGGAACCUGCCCUUAGGUUCGGAAUAACUCCCCGAAAGGGGUGCUAAUACCGGAUAAUGUCUUCGGACCAAAGAUUUAUCGCCUUUGGAUGGGCCCGCGUUGGAUUAGCUAGUUGGUAGGGUAAAAGCCUACCAAGGCGACGAUCCAUAGCUGGUCUGAGAGGAUGAUCAGCCACACUGGGACUGAGACACGGCCCAGACUCCUACGGGAGGGAGCCGGUGGGGAUAUUGGAAAAUGGGCGAAAGGCUGAUCCAGCAAUGGCGCGUGAGUGAUGAAGGCCUUAGGGUUGUAAAGCUCUUUUACCCGGGAAGAUAAUGACAGUACCGGGAGAAUAAGCUCCGGCUAACUCCGUG
rnacentral:rRNA from 1 species